rnacentral:rRNA from 1 species
GAUUAUGGCUCAGGAUGAACGCUGGCGGCGUGCUUAACACAUGCAAGUCGAACGGAGUUUUAACGGAAGUUUCGGAUGGAAGUUAAGAACUAGUGGCGGACGGGUGAGUAACGCGUGGGUAACCUGCCUCAUACAGGGGGAUAACAGUUAGAAAUGACUGCUAACACCGCAGUAAUAUAGUGAAACCGCAUGAUUUUUGCUAUCAAAUAUUUAUAGGUAUGAGAUGGGCCCGCGUCUGAUUAGCUAGUUGGUGGGGUAAAGCCUACCAAGGCGACGAUCAGUAGCCGGCUUGAGAGAGUGACCGGCCACAUUGGGACUGAGACACGGCCCAAACUCCUACGGGAGGCAGCAGUGGGGAAUAUUGGACAAUGGGGGAAACCCUGAUCCAGCGACGCCCGCGUGAGUGAAGAAGUAUUUCGGUAUGUAAAGCUCUAUCAGCAGGGAAGAUAAUGACAGUACCUGACUAAGAAGCCCCGGCUAACUACGUGCCAGCAGCAGC